rnacentral:rRNA from 1 species
UACGUAGGGUGCGAGCGUUGUCCGGAAUUAUUGGGCGUAAAGGGCUCGUAGGCGGUCUGUCACGUCGGGAGUGAAAACACGGGGCUUAACCCCGUGCCUGCUUCCGAUACGGGCAGACUAGAGGUAUGCAGGGGAGAACGGAAUUCCCGGUGUAGCGGUGAAAUGCAUUGAGAUCGGAAAGAACACCAACGGCGAAAGCACUCUGCUGGGCCGACACUGACACUGAGAGACGAAAGCUAGGGGAGCAAAUGGG